CACACUUUUAACAUCAAUCUCAACAUUCUCAAAAAUCAUAAACCUUAGAAGCUGCAACAAAAGUAUUUAUAUUUCCAGGAAAAAAUCUCGUAUAAUAAUCAGAAAAGUAUUGAGGAGAGACAGAAUUAUUCACAAAAAGACAAUUUGUGGAUGGAGAAGACAAACCCAAGAAUACUCCUCCAAGGGAGAUGUUACUUGAAGAAUGGGCAUUACAUAAAACUGACUUGGACUUGCACUAAAUUUAUCCAUGUUCGACAAGAGAAAAAUUCAGAAUAGCACCUGAAAAAACACAAGGACCUUCAAGAACAGCAUGACGUUAUGUCUGGUCAAAAAUGGAAAGUGACGUGGACCUUGAUCAAGCGUGACUUC